rnacentral:tRNA from 1 species
GGUUAGCUCAAUGGUAGAGCAUUCGGCUGUUAACCGAAGGGUUGAGGGUUCGAGCCCCCCA